rnacentral:rRNA from 1 species
UCGGGAAUUUUGGGCAAUGGGCGAAAGCCUGACCCAGCAACGCCGCGUGAAGGAUGAAGUAUUUCGGUAUGUAAACUUCGAAAGAAUAGGAAGAAUAAAUGACGGUACUAUUUAUAAGGUCCGGCUAACUACGUGCCAGCAGCCGCGGUAAUACGUAGGGACCAAGCGUUGUUCGGAUUUACUGGGCGUAAAGGGCGCGUAGGCGGCAAUUCAAGUCAUCUGUGAAAUCUCCGGGCUUAACUCGGAACGGUCAGAUGAUACUGCUUUGCUAGAGUGCAGAAGGGGCAAUCGGAAUUCUUGGUGUAGCGGUGAAAUGCGUAGAUAUCAAGAGGAACACCUGAGGUGAAGACGGGUUGCUGGGCUGGCACUGACGCUGAGGCGCGAAAGCCAGGGGAGCAAACGGGAUUAGAUACCCCCGUAGUCCCUGAGCGGGCUGGCAAGGCGCAU